rnacentral:tRNA from 1 species
ACUUGUCUAGCUUAGUUGGUAGAGCACAAGGCUUUUAACCUUGUGGUCGUGGGUUCAAGCCCCACGAUGGGCA